GACGAACGCUGGCGGCGUGCUUAACACAUGCAAGUCGAACGAAGUGGCCAACGGGUGAGUAAUUCGUGGGUAACCUGCCCUCCUUUUUGGGAUAAUCCUUGUAAACGGCGUCUACUACCGCCUCAAGUGGGUUGGGCUCGCGGCUUUUCCGCGUGUUGGUGGGGUGAUGGCCUACCAAGGCGGUGACGGGUAGACGGCAGGAGAGGGUGACCGGACACAUGGGGACGGAGAUACGGCCCAGACUCGUAAGGGAGGGAGAAGUGGGGGAUAUUGGGCAAGGGGCGAAAGCGGGAUGCAGCGACGGUGCGGGGGGGAUGAAGGCUUUCGGGUUGUAAAACUGAGUCGCUAUCGAACGGGUAGGUGGAGAAGAAGCGCCGGCUAACUACGUGCCAGCAGCCGCGGUAAUAC
rnacentral:rRNA from 1 species